rnacentral:rRNA from 1 species
UACGUAGGGGCCGAGCGUUGUCCGGAGUUAUUGGGCGUAAAGCGCGCGCAGGCGGCCUCGCGCGCCCGACGUGAAAGCCCCCGGCUUAACCGGGGAGGGUCGUUGGGGACGGCGGGGCUUGAGGGCGGGAGAGGUCGGUGGAAUUUCCGGUGUAGCGGUGAAAUGCGUAGAUAUCGGAAGGAACAUCAGUGGCGAAAGCGACUUCCUGGACCAAUACUGACGCUCAUGUGCGAAAGCGUGGGGAGCAAACAGG